GGUUCAAAAUUAAGUUUGCUCUAAAGCCUUUUUGCUCCAUUAUCCCUCUGUUUAAGCUUUUCUCCUUUGUUUGUACGUCUUACUGGCCAUUAGCUUUUAUUUGAUUAUAAAUUUCUCUAUUUGCUCUUUGAUUUUGGGGUUUGUUAUACCUAUUGAGUUUGUGUCGACUAGUGUUUUAAAAGGCAGUUUCAGGAUUCGUCUCGAGGCUCGCCCUAAGGCUAGGUGCUGGCAAAACACCCCGAGGCUCACGUUCGGGGCUUAGUUUCUGUGAGGGCCCUAAGCGCUCGUCUGUACGCCCUAAACCCGCUUAAUGCCCAACGUUCGGGGCUCGCUUAACAGUUCUUACACAAAUUAUAUGUUAAAUUUCUUAAUUAAAAUCACUGAACCCUAUAAUUCUUUAACAAAUGGAUGAUACUUUAUAGUUUUUCAUCCAUAUAAAUAAGAAUAUUGGGUGUAACUCAAAUAAUAAGUCGCAGUAUUGCAUAUUUACUAUUUGAGAACAUUGUGAGGGUGAAUAUCACUUAAUAUUUCUUUUAAAAAUACUAUAGCCAAUUUGUAAAUGUUCACUUGUCAUUGGUCUUUUGACUUACGUCUCAAAUUUAUCAUAUUUUAUUAUUUCGCUAUUUGAAAGGAAUUUUCAUUUUAUUCAUGAACGAGUUACGUUUUAAUUAUACUACUGAUAAAGUUUAUUGAUAUAAAAUAAACCGUAUGAUAGUAAUAUUGUUUUAAGAAAUUGUAAUUUUUUCAUUGUUUGAAAGCUAAGAUGUUAUAAUUGAUAUGUAUUCCAUAAGAGUUUUUAUUUCAUUAUAUUAUUUACACUUGUAAAAUUAUGUUAUAUAUAAUUACAAGUUGUAAGCAGGGGUUACUAGAGGGUGAGGCUAAUAAAACUUUUGCUUUUGGGCCCCAAAAGAUUUUACCGAUGAAUUUUAUGAUUUAGAUUUCUCUUAAAUAAUGUUGAAGAUUGUAAAAAGAAGUAUAAAAUAUAUAUAACAAAAGAAAGAAAAAACACUAUCUAUGUAUUACGAACAAUAUUCUAAUACUUUGAAUUAAACUACUCAAAUCUUCAUAUUAUUAAAUAAAGUUUUUACAAUAACAUCCUAGGUAAUGUCUUUAAAACACAUGGCUAAUAGAUUGUUGACUUGAAUUGAUCCUCAUUAAUAUAAAUACUAAUGUUACCAUAUGAAGUAAAAGACAACAAGUAUGAAAAAUAAAAAAAGGCAAUACUAAUUUUUUUUAAUGUAAUUUUACCUAAUUAAAAAUAUUUAUUGUAAUUAUAUUAUUUUGUGAAAUACAAAAAAUUAAAUAUCCAUGGGGCUUACGCCCUGUGCCUCGGGGCUUACAUCUCGCCGAGGUAAAUGUAAAAUGCUCCGCCUUACGCCCUUGCCCUUUAAAACACUGGUGUCGAUUCUAAGCCCAUUAAAGUGGGUUUUGGCGCCUUAAAAUAGCGCCAUGCAAGCAACGCCCAGACAGAAUUUGAAAUCAAAGUUUCAUUUGCAUUGCACAAAAAAAACACACAUGAUGUCACACAGGAUGUCUGAAUUGUUGCGUACGCCUCUUUCUCUUAUAAUCGAAGCUAAUUCCGAUGAGGAAUAUGAUUUAUCGGACAACAGCAAGUCUUCAUCACCAACCAGGAAAGCAAUCAACUCUGAUUCCCGAAAAUCCGUAUCAGAGUCGAUUAAUGGGGUUGUAACCGGCAAGUCUGAAUCCGGUGUAAAAUGGGACGAUGACGGAGAACCGCCUCCGUCAUCGCUCCUCAAUUUGGAUUAUAUAGGUGAUGACGAAAUCGUGACGGAGGACGACAAUAGCAUACCGGUAGAAACAGUGAUCAAUGCUAAGGAGAUUACAGUCGAGGAGAAUACAGUUGAAGAUGAGGAGAAUUUGGUCGAUGGAUUUAAAUACAUAAUGUGUUUGAAGGUCGCCGGCACGUCGUCCACCGGCGGCGGUCUAUUCAAGUUGAAAAAACCAAAGUUUCUGAAGAAAGGAAGGUAUUAAUUGCUAUGUUAGUUUUUGGUGCUGAUCCUCUGUGUACAAGUUGCGGCUAGUUCACCAGUUCAAUUAGUUCUGCAUUGAUGAUCAUCUCUGUUUGUUUGGUUAUUAGGCGGCCUAUUCAAGUUGAAUAAACCAAAGUUUCUGAAGAAAGGAAGAGAUUAAUUGCUAAGUUGGUUUUUGGUGCUGAUCCUCUGUGUACAAGUUGCGGCUAGUUCACUAGUUCAAUUAGUUCUACAUUGAUGAUCAUCUCUGUUUGUUUGGUUAUUAGAAGUAUAUUUUAGCUAUAGUCUAUAGUAUCGUUCUAUCUACACAAGUUGCGGCUAGUUCACUAGUUCAAUUAGUUCUACAUUGAUGAUCAUCUCUGUUUGUUUGGUUAUUAGAAGUAUAUUUUAGCUAUAGUCUAUAGUACCGUUCUAGUUUAAUGUUGUGAUGAAGAGAAUCUAUCGAGUAUAUUUUAGCUAUAGUCUAUAGUACCGUUGUUUGGUUUAUAGAAGUAUAUUUUAGCUAUAGUCUAUAGUACCGUUCUAGUUUAACGUUGUGAUGAAGAGAAUCUAUCGAGAAACUAGUUUGCUGGUUUUCAUAGUACUAAUAGUGAUAUGCUGCUAGUCCACCGGUAUAUGUUUUGGUGCUGAUCCUCUGUUCACAAUUCCACGAGAAGUAUGCUGCUAGUUCACCAGUAGUCAAAAACAGCGUUUUUUUUUAGAUGACAUGGAAUCGCAACUGCUACCCUUAAAAAGGCAAAUCCCCUGCUGUCGUAGGCAGGGGGUUUCGAAUUUGAGACCUCCAUUAUGAAAGCCUCAUACUCAACCAAUUGAGCCACCCUUUAAUUCUAGCUUAACAUUGUGAUGAUAUUGCUGUUUUUCCCCUUUCUUAUCAUAGUUGUUGAGUAUGUAAAUCAACUCCAACACAUUCACUGAAGGCUAAAUGCUUAGUUUUUUUAUUUAGCUGGAAUUUUCUUACUCCUGUUAAUAGCAUUGACCGUUUUUUGGACUUUGUUAGCUCCAUGGUACUAGUAUAGCUUUAAUGUAAUGGAGACUAACAUGUUUUUUUGCUUCAAAAGCCCUUUGGCUUUUGCUUCUGUAUUAUGGCACCUUCCAGUUGCCCUAUAUCAAUGACAACAUCUUACUUCAUCAAAAAAAAAGUUGUUGAGUAUGUAAAUGUAGUAGUAGUUCUCUGUAAUGGUGAAUUCAUGAAGAUACUGAUAAAGCAGCAAUAUUAGUAGUAUUAUCCUAUUGCUCUUUCUUAAUUGCAUAGUUAUGUUCUCGAGCUGGUUGUGUGUUACUCUAUUUUAGUAUUAUUUUAUUAUAUAUAAUAAUAAUUGAUGGUUUCAACGUGAAUGCUUAAUAGCAUAAAUUCAGGUUUAAGGGCAAUUUCGUCAUUGCAACAAUUUCAUAUGAAACGUGGCUUUCAAUCUACAACUAAAGCAGCCACGUAUUCCUUUUUUGUUUUCUUUCCGAUCUGGAAAUUUCUUGGCAUACAUAAACCCACCAUAGCUAACCCAAUGCACAGAAAAAGAGACAAUCCGCCAUUACCCAGUAUAAUCUAACCGAGAAAGAGCUAAUAAUUCCGUUUCGAGAAAGAGGAAAUAGAUAAUCCCUUUUUGAGGGCCUCUUGAAGAUUUCUGAUUUUGAAUGGUCAAUACACAAUGCAGAAGCGACACACGACGUGUGGAACACUUGAUUAUUUAGCACCAGAAAUAGUGGACAACAAAGCCCAUGAUUAUAUAGUUUACAAUUGGACUUUGAAGAGCCUUUGCUAUGAUUUUUAUACGUGUGCUCCCCUUGUAGCUGAGAGCCAGAAUGAGGCUGAAAGAUUUUUUUUGAGAAGAGGCUAGAUUUUUGGGAACCUGCGGGAAGACAUAUUUAGUUAUUGAAACACUAUGAAUUUUUCUGUUGAAGUUGUUGAAGUUAUAGAAUCUGAUGGAUGAGGGCAGAAGUACAGCAGUUGGAUUCUACAUGCUUAUGGUGGGAAAAACUUAGCAUUUUAUUUUGUUCCUGAACUCUCACUAUUACUUCCUCUCUUUGUUGAUAGCUUGUAUAAAAUUGACAUGGUUUGUGUAAAAUUCAUCAUUACUCUUUUACGAGUCUAUGCGAUGGCUUCUGAUUUUCGUCAUGAAAAUACAACAUGCAUGAAUGGGUGUUUUGUUAGAAAUGCAUGUCAAAAACAUCUGACAUUUAGCA